ACCCAGCUGACGAGUCCCAAAUAGUACGAAAUGCGUAUCCUACAU
rnacentral:hammerhead_ribozyme from 1 species